GCCUGGGUGGCUCAGUCGGUUAAGCGUCUGACUUCGGCUCAGGUCAUGAUCUCGGGGUCUGUGGGUUCGAGCCCCGCGUCGGGCU
rfam:Felis catus isolate Cinnamon breed Abyssinian chromosome C2, whole genome shotgun sequence.